rnacentral:piRNA from 2 species
UUAAAGGUUUUGAAACUCUCCUGUCUGGUC